CGGAGGGGGCUAGCGUUGUUCGGAAUUACUGGGGCGUAAAGCGCGCGUAGGCGGUUCUUCAAGUCAGAGGUGAAAGCCCGGUGCUCAACAUCGGAAUUGCCUUUGAAACUAGGGAACUUGAAUCCAGGAGAGGUGAGUGGAAUUCCGAGUGUAGAGGUGAAAUUCGUAGAUAUUCGGAAGAACACCAGUGGCGAAGGCGGCUCACUGGACUGGUAUUGACGCUGAGGUGCGAAAGCGUGGGGAGCAAACAGGAUU
rnacentral:rRNA from 1 species